ACCGUUCAGGGGUAAACCUGAGAAACCCGAAAGGUCGAAAGGGGAAAUUUCAUUCGCGUUUCGAUCGUCGAAGAUGAGCGUUUGUAUGACGGAAGAUCUGUGUUUCGGCACACGUGAUUUCGCAUCUUAUGUUUUUCGAAUCGAUGUCGAACGCGUGCACUUUUCCUCUAGUAGUACGUCGUGAUCCGUUGGGUGUUUGUCUAAGACUCGGGGUGGAGACCACGUGAUUAUUUGAUUAUGUGGACCCUCGAUGUUCCGAUAGACUCGCUCGACGGUAUAAAUAUGGCGCGGGGCCUCUACCUUAGUUAGAGUUCGGCCCGUAGCAAGCACGUUUCGCGUUUGACGGCGAUCGGACCUAGUGCCGAUUCUGUCCCGGAACGACUGUUGGUUACGGUGUUCUCGAACAGACCUCGUUUUGAAACGCCGAUCANCGACGCGAUAGAUUUG
rnacentral:rRNA from 1 species